UCCUCAAAAAUACAACUUGCCUAAUAAUUCUGCACUCCCUGUAGUUCAUCAAUCAUGUUAGACAUUAUAUUAAUAAUGAAACGACAUAUAAACUUUCUAUAAGCCAUCAGAUGAAAUUGAAGACAUCCUAAAAGGCACUCAUACGGGCAUUUUAAUCAAGAACGUCUGGUGGUUACUGAAAUCUCGGAUGUCCCCAAGGCAUAUGGACUGCUAAUGGUUUUGCUUUACGCCGUUAACAUUGACUACCCCAAACACAUGAAGUACACCUUUGAAGCCCUACAAAAACUUCUAAUGAACAUUGGUGGAAGCCGCUGUUCUUCACGUGU